CCGAGUUGCAAGACUCCCAACCCUUGUGAACCUACCUGAGUUGCCUCGGCACGGCGCCCCAGGGCGGGGCCUCGGCCUCCUACGGGAGGCGCCUGCCGGCGAUGGCACCAACCAAACUCUGCCUUAAAUUUCUUCUGAGUCGAUAUUAAAUAAGUCA
rnacentral:misc_RNA from 1 species